rnacentral:rRNA from 1 species
GACGAACGCUGGCGGCGUGCCUAAUACAUGCAAGUCGAACGAACGGAGCUAGGUACUUGUUCCCGGCAAAGUUAGUGGCGCACGUGUGAGUUACACGUUUAGAACCUACCCUUUUGCGGGGUAUAACCAUUGGUAACGAUGUCUUAUACCGCAUAUAAUCGCAGUUCUCUUUUUCAACUUAUGAUAGACUUCUUCUGCUGUCUCUCAAGGAUUGCUCCCCGGUGCAUUAUCUAGAUGGUUGGGUAACGGCCUACCAUGGCAAUGAUGCAUAGCCGACCUGAGAGGGUGAUCGGCCACAUUGGGAGUGAGACACGGCCCAAACUCCUACGGGAGGCAGCAGUAGGGAAUCUUCCGCAAAGGGCGCAAGCCUGACGGAGCAACGCCGCGUGUGUGAAGAAGGUCUUCGGAUCGUAAAGAACUGUUGUUAGAGAAGAACGACAGCUAGAGUAACUGUUAGCGGAGUGACGGUAUCUAACCAGAAAGCCACGGCUAACUACGUG